rnacentral:tRNA from 1 species
GGAGACGUGCCAGAGUGGCCGAAUGGGGCUCCCUGCUAAGGAGUUGCCCUCUUGACGAGGGCCGCAGGUUCAAAUCCUGUCGUCUCCG